ensembl:lncRNA
CUGUCUCCUCCAGCCUGGUUCUCUCUUGGCCCGGGCUCUCCUUCGCUGCGUCUCAGGAUCCUGGACCCCUUUGUAGGGUCUUCUUGGCUGAAGGCUCUCUCUUUGCUCCAUCCCUAUCUUCAGAUGCCCACUCUUGGGAAUCAGAAAACUAUGUCCAAGCAGGUGGUUUGCCAGCAAAUCAUGGGAGCAGCACUGCUUUACUCCUAGGAGUUGCCCAUCACCAAGGAGCCUGCAGAAGUUGCCCAUCACCAAGGAGCCUAGCUGGACAUCAAGCCCUCCCUAAGGGAGCUCACCCGAAGGAGGCCUAAAGGCCCACACUGAUGUCACAGCUGGAGACCUGUUGAGGGUUGGAACAUUCUCCCAGCUCAGAGAGGAUCCAUGAGCCCUCUCUGCAUCACACAGCUAGUAGGUACAGAAGGUGGAUAGCUUAGGGUUUUGCUUGUUUUGAGUUCCCCAGACACGGCACUUGGAGAAGCAAGAGCUGGCAUCUAGUGUGGGGCCCUGUGCUAGGUUUCCUGAUUUGCAGGGGAGACUAGUCCACCCAGAGAACUCAGGGGUUUCCUCAGGGUGAGGGGGAAGAUGUAAAUUCUGGACCCCGUUUUCCUUGCACCUCCAGGGCUAUGGUAGCUCAUUGUCCCUGUAAGGUCCAUGGUGCCCUCCUGGGGCCAGAGUCCCAGGGGAUUCCCAGGCCCCUUAGGGGACAGACUCGCGGGGCUUCAGGGACUUCAUAGGUAAAGUUUGUGACAGCCUUCCCCAGGGGUAGGGGCUCCAAGCAUCUGGGCUCGACCUGGGCCCCCGAAGACCCCCCGAGUCCUAGCCCUGUCUGACUCGGGACAUGCCAUGGGACAACUGAUGGCCAAGUUGAUGAGCAUCUUCUGGGAACGGGUUCAUCAUCCUUGUGAUUGACAGCACAGACCGGGACCGGCUGCUGACCACUCGAGAGGAGCUGUAUAAGAUGCUGGCCCAUGAGGCUCUACACGAUGCGCCCAUCCUCAUCUUUGCCAAUAAGCAGGACAUGAAGGACUCCAUGACCAUCGUGGAGAUCUCCAGUUCCUCACCCUAGUGCCAUCAAAGACCACCCGUGGCACAUACAGGGCUGCUGUGCCCUCACCGGGGAAGGGCUGCCUGCCGGGCUGCAGUGGAUGCAGUCUCAGGCCACUGCCAGUUGAUGUCCCAGACUGAGGCCAACCAGAAACUUGGAGGGUUUUGCAUGGACUAUGUGGGUAGAAAACCCAAGUGACUAUUAUUUUUCUAUGACGCUGUAGUGACCAGGGGCAUCUAUGGAUGGUGAGAUUGCUACUGUCCACCCAACCCCCCCACUGAGGAGCUAGAUGGAGCACCCUGAGUUGCUGCAGACAGGACAGCAGAAAAGCUGCCCUUCACUCCAUGGAAGCAGGCAUCCUUCUUAGAGACACCAGGGGAGCUGUUGGAUGUGUUGGGGGAUCAGGAAGUGGAGCCCCCUCCCUCAGCCCUCAACCUCUCUGUAGGAAAAAUGGAGGGCCGAGUAAGAGACCCCUGGAAUUGUUCUUUAUUUCCUAGACCUCUACCCCAACCCUUUAACCCCCACUCCAGCUUUCCGGCCCCUUAGCCAUCUUUGUCCCAUACGCUUCAGUCAAAGGAGAUGCUAGAAAGGUGAAGAGGCUGGCUCAGGGGUUGCUCAGUCGUGUCCAACUCUUUGCGACCCCAUGGACCGUAGCCUACCAGGCUCCUCCCUCCAUGGGAUUCUCCAGGAAAGAGUACUGGAGCGGAUUGCCAUUUCCCUCUCCAGGGGAUCUUCCUGACCUGGGUCUCCCUCAUUCCAGGCAGAGGCUUUAACUUCUGAACCACCAGGGAAGGGGGGCAGAGCCAAAGCCUGAGAGGGGAGAGGGUGGAGGACUGGACGUUCCAGCCAGAGACGGGUCCUCACACUGCAGGGGGUUCCACUCCUUCCCCACCUUCCCAUUCCCUCUGAGACGCUGGGUCUGACCACAGCUUUUGAGCUUUAAGCUACCCCUUCACUCCCAGUAUCCUUCCAGUGUGAAUCCCACUCCUCCCAAUACCCCAGAUUCCUACAGCAUUUGUUUAUCUUGUCUUUUUGUAGUGAUUUUUUUCCCACACCGUAGUAGGAAUUUUAUGAAGGUAUAAUAAAUGCCAUUGAAAACUGCUCA